rnacentral:rRNA from 1 species
CGUCAGGACGAACGCUGGCGGCGUGCUUAACACAUGCAAGUCGAACGGAAAGGCCCUGCUUUUGUGGGGUGCUCGAGUGGCGAACGGGUGAGUAACACGUGAGUAACCUGCCCUUGACUUUGGGAUAACUUCAGGAAACUGGGGCUAAUACCGGAUAGGAGCUCCUGCUGCAUGGUGGGGGUUGGAAAGUUUCGGCGGUUGGGGAUGGACUCGCGGCUUAUCAGCUUGUUGGUGGGGUAGUGGCUUACCAAGGCUUUGACGGGUAGCCGGCCUGAGAGGGUGACCGGCCACAUUGGGACUGAGAUACGGCCCAGACUCCUACGGGAGGCAGCAGUGGGGAAUAUUGCACAAUGGGCGGAAGCCUGAUGCAGCAACGCCGCGUGCGGGAUGACGGCCUUCGGGUUGUAAACCGCUUUCGCCUGUGACGAAGCGUGAGUGACGGUAAUGGGUAAAGAAGCACCGGCUAACUACGUGCCAGCAGCCGCGGUGAUACGUAGGGUGCGAGCGUUGUCCGGAUUUAUUGGGCGUAAAGGGCUCGUAGGUGGUUGAUCGCGUCGGAAGUGUAAUCUUGGGGCUUAACCCUGAGCGUGCUUUCGAUACGGGUUGACUUGAGGAAGGUAGGGGAGAAUGGAAUUCCUGGUGGAGCGGUGGAAUGCGCAGAUAUCAGGAGGAACACCAGUGGCGAAGGCGGUUCUCUGGGCCUUUCCUGACGCUGAGGAGCGAAAGCGUGGGGAGCGAACAGGCUUAGAUACCCUGGUAGUCCACGCUGUAAACGGUGGGUACUAGGUGUGGGGUCCAUUCCACGGGUUCCGUGCCGUAGCUAACGCUUUAAGUACCCCGCCUGGGGAGUACGGCCGCAAGGCUAAACCAG